rnacentral:rRNA from 1 species
UACAGAGGUCCCAAGCGUUGUUCGGAUUCAUUGGGCGUAAAGGGUGUGUAGGUGGCGCCGUAAGUCGGGUGUGAAAUUUCGGAGCUUAACUCCGAAACUGCAUUCGAUACUGCGGUGCUUGAGGACUGGAGAGGAGACUGGAAUUCAUGGUGUAGCAGUGAAAUGCGUAGAUAUCGGGAGGAACACCAGUGGCGAAGGCGACUUCCUGGCCUGUUCUUGACGCUGAGGCGCGAAAGCUAGGGGAGCAAACGGG